GAGUUUGAUCGUGGCUCAGGACGAACGCUGGCGGCGUGCCUAAUACAUGCAAGUCGAACGAACGGAUAAAGAGCUUGCUCUUUUGAAGUUAGUGGCGGACGGGUGAGUAACAUGUGGGUAACCUGCCUCACAGCUGGGGAUAACAUCGAGAAAUCGAUGCUAAUACCGAAUGUGCUGAACAUCAUAAGAUGUUCAAGUGAAAGACGGUUUCGGCUGUCACUGUGAGAUGGACCCGCGCUGGAUUAGCUAGUUGGGAAGGUAAUGGCUUACCAAGGCGACGAUCCAUAGCCGACCUGAGAGGUGAUCGGCACAUUGGGACUGAGACACGGCCAAACUCCUACGGGAGCAGCAGUAGGGAAUCUUCGGCAAUGGACGAAAGUCUGACCGAGCAACGCCGCGUGAGCGAAGAAGGCC
rnacentral:rRNA from 1 species